rnacentral:ncRNA from 1 species
GUAAGCCGAGCGACUGUAAACAAUUUCGGCCCCAUGCAAGUCAGCGCGACGCUGGCGACACCCUCGAAUUGCGGGAAAGCCCUAAAGCACCUCCACACCAAGCCUGGCGGGGAAACCCCCGGGUGGCCCAUGGGAAACUAUGGGGUACGGUAACAGCGGGGGGUGAUGACCCACGAGCGCCUCGCUCCUGGGGAAAUGGGUAAUCCGCAGCGAAGCCCCUGCAGUUGAUCGAUGGCACUCGCAUGCAGUCGAAACAUGGGGAACGUCCACAGACUAAGCGAAGGUGGGUGGAGAGCCGACGGCUCUCUGCUUAAGAUAUAGUCGGGCCCCGCGGGAAACCCUGGGGAUGCGGGCCGCUCAUCACGGCCGCGCAGCCAAAAACGUUCCGUAGGUGAACCUGCGGAAGGAUCAUUA